rnacentral:rRNA from 1 species
UACGGAAGGCAGCAGUGGGGAAUAUUGCACAAUGGGCGAAAGCCUGAUGCAGCUAUGCCGCGUGUAUGAAGAAGGCCUUAGGGUUGUAAAGUACUUUCAUCGGGGAGGAAAAACAAAACUAAUAAUUUUAUUUCUUGACGUUACCCGAAAAAGAAGCACCGGCUAACUCCGUGCCAGCAGCCGCGGUAAUACGGAGGGUGCUAGCGUUAAUCAGAAUUACUGGGCGUAAAGAGCACGUAGGCGGUUUUUUUAAGUCAGAUGUGAAAUCCCUGGGCUUAACCUAGGAACUGCAUUUUGAAACUGAAAUACUAGAGUAUCGUAGAGGGAGGUAGAAUUCUAGGUGUAGCGGUGAAAUGCGUAGAUAUCUGGAGGAAUACCUGUGGCGAAAGCGGCCUCCUAAACGAAUACUGACACUGAGGUGCGAAAGCGUGGGGAGCAAACAGGGAUUAGAUACC